UACGGAGGGAGCUAGCGUUGUUCGGAAUUACUGGGCGUAAAGCGCACGUAGGCGGCUUUCUAAGUCAGGGGGUGAAAUCCCCGGGGCUCAACCCCGGAACUGCCCUUGAAACUGGAUGGCUAGAAUCCUGGAGAGGCGAGUGGAAUCCGAGUGUAGAGGUGAAAUUCGUAGAUAUUCGGAAGAACACCAGUGGCGAAGGCGACUCGCUGGACAGGUAUUGACGCUGAGGUGCGAAAGCGUGGGGAGCAAACAGG
rnacentral:rRNA from 1 species